UAGGUACUUUUCAUUGUUCAUUUACCGUUGGCGGUGACACACUGUAAAAUGGCCAAAUUGCAAUUUUUGUUAUCGCUUAAUCCUUGACGAUUUGGAACAGUGUGUAUAUGUAUUGUUUUGGGUAUAUUUGCGUGUACUUAAUCUAUUUAUUGUUUAGCCUUAGCCCAUUUUUUCAUUGUCCAGUCACCCUUGGCUUAUAUAACAAGUGUUGUUGAAAAAACUGAAUCUGUUUUCAAAUCUAUUUUUUGAGUUUGGUUUAUUAGAGUUUAUUAGGUUUAUUAGGUUCAAUUUGUGCAGUCGAUUCAGAAAGUUUAAAUUUUAAAUUCUGAAAAUAUUGUGAAGUGAAAAAAAUUAGUGAAAUAAAAAGAGUGUAGCUGAGUGGAGCGAUGAAAA
rnacentral:lncRNA from 1 species